rnacentral:rRNA from 1 species
CCGCGGUAAUACGGAGGGUGCAAGCGUUAUUCGGAAUCACUGGGCGUAAAGCGCGCGUAGGUUGCGUGGUAAGUCAGAUGUGAAAGCCCGGCUCAACCGGGGAACUGCAUUUGAAACUGCCAUGCUUGAGUACGACAGAGGGUGGCGGAAUUCCCGGUGUAGGAGUGAAAUCCGUAGAUAUCGGGAGGAACACCAGUGGCGAAGGCGGCCACCUGGGUCGAUACUGACGCUGAGGUCCGCGAAAGCGUGGGUAGCAAACAGGAUUAGAUACCCUGGUAGUCCACGCCGUAAACGAUGGAUGCUAGGUGUUGGGUGCAAGACACUCAGUGCCGCAGUUCGCGUUAAGCAUCCGCCUGGGGACUACGG